CCCCAUGCCGAACUCAGAAGUGAAACGCCGUAGCGCCGAUGGUAGUGUGGGGUCUCCCCAUGCGAGAGUAGGGAACUGCCAGGCA
rnacentral:rRNA from 5 species